rnacentral:rRNA from 1 species
AGCAGCCGCGGUAAUUCCAGCUCCAAUAGCGUAUAUUAAAGUUGUUGCAGUUAAAAAGCUCGUAGUUGAAUUUUGGGCGUAGCUGAGCGGUCCGCCUUUGGGUGAGAACUGUUCGGCCGCGCCUUUCCUUGUGGGGAACCAGUAUGCGCUUCGCGGUGUGUGCUGGCAAUCCACAACUUUUACUUUGAAAAAAU